AUGACGCCAAGCCGCCCCCGUCUGGAUGACCCGAACGGCUCCCACACUGGUGAUCACAUUUCAACCAGAGAUUUAGACCGGACCAUCCAAAAUAACUCAGGGCCACAGCUACCUUUGGUGUUAUUUAAGCUUCACAUAAAGGCUUCGGUGCAUUUAGUGCAGAAGCGUCUGCGUUUCCGGAGCUGGAGCGCCUGUCCUGGGGAAGUUCGCUGUGCUUUGUCCCUGGAGGUCUUGAAGGGUUCUGCCAAGACAGAGGCGGUUUUGUGUCUCACAACAAGACUGUUUUAAGAUUUUGGUUGUUUCUUUCUUUCGAGGGAAUAGACUUAAUAAAUAUUUGUUAACUUAUCUGUUGACCCAAAUGUGUAUUUCUAAAUUGCCUACUCAGAGAAACUUUCUUAUAGACUGGGCUCAUUUAAACUUAUGAUAGAGAUGGUUAAUCACAGGAGUGAUUCCAGAACGGUCAAGCAGUGGUGGUGCUAUGAAUAUGUAGGUGGAUGGAGAACACCCAUCUUCUCUAUUAAGUUAGAAACAUACGCAGAGUCAAGUGACUGUCUGAACUUAGAGCCGUCCGUCUCUCCUGUGCUGACCUUUGUUUCUCAGAGGCUGCUGAUGCGCAGUAGGUUCUGGCUGGCACUUGACUGCUGGUCCUUAAAAGUGUGUGCUGGAGGCUGGAUUCAGUGACUCAGCCUGUAAUCCCAGCACUUUGGGAGGCCGAGGCGGGUGGAUCACCUGAGGUCGGGAGUUCGAAACCAGCCUGGCCAACAUGACGAAACCCUGUCUUCAUUGAAAAUACAAAAAUUAGCAGGGUGUGGUGGUGCGCACCUGUAGUUCUAGCUACUUGGGAGGCUGAGGCAGGAGAAUCGUUUGAACCUGGGAGGUGGAGGUUGCAGUGAGUCAAGACUGCGCCAUUUGCACUCCAGCCUGGCUACAAGAGCGAAACUAUGCCUCAAAAACAAAAAACAAACAAAAGUGCACUGGGAUAAGACAGCAGUGCUCACCCUCCUUUAAACUAUAUCACAAAGAUUGGAUAUGAUUUGUUGAGAAAAUCGUAUUUUUAUUAGUUAUUUUAAAAACACGUAUUCGUUUAAAAUAUUUCCUUAAAAGCUGGUGUAAUUUUACCCAAAUCUUGGCAUGUCUUGAAUGGACCAGUGCGUCUCAGCAGCCGCAGCUUUCCCGAGCUCCGACGGGAUGGCCCAGGACACCGUCCUCAGAGAGUUCCAGGCUGGGAGAAGGUCUGCAAAGCAAAAAUCCAU
rnacentral:lncRNA from 1 species